UUGGAAUCUAAUAUUCCCUUCCUUCAUCUGUCUAUACCUAUACUAACUACAGACUCCCUAAUAAUUCUCACGUUAAUUAGAAAAUAAGAGCUGUUCAUUUGAUGUGAUUAGAAAUUAAGAAUCGUUUAUCUGAUGUGAUCAAAUUAUAACGGCGGCGAUUAAUCCGUGCAAUCCUCGACCAGUUCUGGCCAAUUCCCAUAGUACUAAAUCAGAAAUUAGCCCAUCUUCCUCCUCCACCUCACAAUUUCUCUGCCGCUUCUCCAUGCCCUAGAGACUACCGGGCUACUAGAUCUCAACUUUCUAUCCAUGCUGCUAUCCAAUCUCCAUGUGUUCCUUUGAUUUAGAAAAGUUUGCAUCGCAAGAGCAUUUGUGAGGUGGAGCAGGGGAGGUGGUUGGAUCGGGGCUGUUGGUGCUGCGACGCAGAGGCAGUGGUUGGGGAGACGUCGUGGUGCAGCCGAGGAAGCUCGAGAGGCGGCGACUAAAGGAGGCUCUACUGGAUGUGGAGAAUCUCCAUGGCCGACGAGGUACACCGUACACAGGAGGCGGCGAUGCCAUGGACGGCUGCAGAGCCGAGGUGCGACGAGCAGAUGGGAAGUCGGCGAGGCGCACAGGAAGCGGCGGCGCCUUAGACGGCUGCAGAGGAGAGAGGCCACAAGGGGAGGAGGAGCUCAGGCGAAGCAACUCCUCGCUUCUGUCACCAUGUCCAAAGUCGUAUCCCUCGAGGCUGCAGUUCUCAAAAAAUAUAGAUCACAAUCUAAUUUGUCCUCUCCUUGAUCCCCUUCUUCCAAGGAUUGAAUCUCUUCAGUUCCAGAAUUCAAAUCAAUGCACAAUCAUCAUCUUAAACAACCACAUGAUCCAAUCCCAGCCUCCCUGGAUGCUUUGCUCCUCAAUAUUUAAAUCCCCUCAGUUUCACCAAGCACCAUGAUUUUUCAUAAGAAUUGAGUGUUGGUCAGUUGGAAGAUGGAGACAGUUUGAAACAGGUUGAGCGGUUGUCACCGUCGGCGAGGCUGCGAAGUGGAUGAACAACACUCCCUCUACGCAGGCAGGGUUCCUGCGGGCAGACAGCAAGAGGCACACACACGGUGGCAGCAGGCAGGUGGUGGGUGCGGCGACAACUGUGAGCUGCAUGUCUCCGGCAGCCGCGUCGCCUUCUACGCUAGACAAUUAUAUUAUACAUCUGCUAAGGGUAACCACAAGGUGUUCUUCACGGAGCUCAAUUGAGCUGAAUUAGUCGAGUUGUUGGGUAAGUAACUAAGCAUCCUUUUGUAACUAUGCUUUCAUCACGGAUUGGAAAGAUAGCAGGACAUACAUAUCAUCCACAUGCAAAGAACUGAAAUAAUUAAAGAUAGUGUGAAUUAGUACAAUUUACUGCAGAUUCGAGAACUAUUGUAAACAUUGCAAUGGAAUACUUCAGAUUUAGUAGAAUUUGUUGCAAGGUAAUGAUAUUAUGUAUAUAAAUGAUUGAAAACAAUUCAAUUAGUUGUUUCCUUCUGUGUUAUUUUUAAAAUAUAAUUUCACAGAAUUAGCCUUUUGAUUCAUUUUGUUUUCUAUGAUAAAUUUGCGUUUACUAUGUCAAAUGUAAGAAACCUAUAUAUUAAGAUGCCUUUCUUCAUGUAAACUGUGUAGACCUUAGAUUACUAGGUUGAUUGUAUUCUCUAUUUCUCUUAGCAUUGCUCAUUGUGCCUUGAAAGAAUGUGUUUCCAACAGUGCUAGAACUGUUUAAAAAUGUCAGCAAUGAUAUCGUCCGCAUCAUCAGUUGAUGAGAGAAAUAUGUGCAGAAGAUUUUUAUAGGAUCAUUUCAGGCUUAAACAUAAGUCGUAGAUAAUUGAUUUACAUCCAAUAACAACCUAGACAGUGUUUGAAACUCAAGAUAUAAAAUUGACUUUGGAAUCAAGAAGUUUUAUUGCAUAUGUAUAUAUGACUAUCAUAUAUGCUAGAUUAUCAUAUAAUUAUAUACGAUUAUUAAGUAUCCACUAUUCAGAAUAUCACAUAUGACUAGAAGGUUUUUACAAGAUUGUGAUGUAGCGGCUGGGCAUGCCGGGCCACAUAUCAUUAAAUCCCUCCUCUCUUCUCCUUCUUGAUGAACUCAUCGGAGAGCCGCCAAUAUUUUCGCUUUAUUCGUAAUGUCUCAUCAAGACAAUUUUUUUUUGGGUUUUGUACAUUUUUCACGUCACAACUCUUACCAGACUAUGAAUUAUAGGGAGUGAAGGAGAACCAACCAGCUGAGAUAAUCUGCGUGGCAUUUGCUGCCAACUAGCAGAGUUGUGUACAUAUAGAAAUCAACCACUGUCAGCCAAAUCUUUUUGAUGUUUAUAGAAGCUUUAUAGACGUUUUCCUAUGUAAAGGAUUUCGAGAUUGUACGUUUUUCUUCCAAUAUGUGCUAACUUUCAGAUUAUCUGCAUGUACAACAAACAUUUCUUUUGUCCAGGAAUAAGAAUCAUAUCUUAUAGCGUAUAAUAUUUUGUUGGUAGAUUUGUCAGAUUUAAGUAUUGUUGGUUGUGCAAGAAAAUAGCUUCAUGUAUGGAUUAUUGAGUUACACAUGUUUCUGUUUAUGGUUUGUUUGUUGUAUUUGGAAACAGAUCUACAUAGAUGAUCUUUUUAAUACAAAACAUACAUAUUAAAUUUUCCUGCAUUUCUAGCCAUGUAAUCCAUAUUAUCAUUGUUUUUUAAUAAUAU